AUAAUGCUCCGCAAACAGCUUGUACCUAGAAUCAGAGAAAGAAAUCAACAGGGAAAAGAUAGACACAGUUGCAAAGAGAUUGAGUCAGUCAUUUUUGUUGUUGUUGUGAUUUUCCUAUCAUCU
rnacentral:ribozyme from 1 species